rnacentral:rRNA from 1 species
UACGAAGGGUGCAAGCGUUACUCGGAAUUACUGGGCGUAAAGCGUGCGUAGGUGGUGAGUUAAGUCUGUCGUGAAAGCCCCGGGCUCAACCUGGGAAUGGCGAUGGAUACUGGCGGGCUUGAGUAUGGCAGAGGGGGGUGGAAUUCCGCAUGUAGCAGUGAAAUGCGUAGAGAUGCGGAGGAACACCGAUGGCGAAGGCAGCCCCGUGGGCCAAUACUGACGCUCAGGCACGAAAGCGUGGGGAGCAAACAGG